GAUGAACGCUAGCGGCAGGCCUAAUACAUGCAAGUCGAACGGCAGCAGGCUGUAGCAAUACAGUGCUGGCGAGUGGCGCACGGGUGCAUAACACGUAUGUAAUUUGCCCAUAACUGGGGAAUAGCCCUCCGAAAGGAGGAUUAAAACCCCAUAACCCAGCGAGGUGGCAUCACUUUUCUGGUAAAACUCCGGUGGUUAUGGAUAAGCAUGCGUCCGAUUAGCUAGUUGGCGAGAUAACGGCUCACCAAGGCAACGAUCGGUAGGGGGUCUGAGAGGAUGAUCCCCCACACGGGUACUGAGACACGGACCCGACUCCUACGGGAGGCAGCAGUAAGGAAUAUUGGACAAUGGAGGCAACUCUGAUCCAGCCAUGCCGCGUGAAGGAUGAAGGCGCUACGCGUUGUAAACUUCUUUUCUCUUAGAAAAAACAUUUGGUUUCGUACCGAAUCUGAUUGUACAAGAGGAAUAAGCAUCGGCUAACUUCGUGCCAGCAGCCGCAGUAAAAC
rnacentral:rRNA from 1 species